rnacentral:lncRNA from 1 species
GAAGACAAUCAUGCAGAGUACACCUGGAUACAGUAAGCAGCAAUAUUUUUACAUGAGGAAAACAUCAAGCAAACAAGCAUAGCUUUUUCAGCCCUUGAAAAAGAAAACAAGCAGCAGUCCACUGAACUGAUACAGCUGCGUCCUCUCCAAGCAGCUAGAGGACCCACCUUUGAAUGCACACACUCACUACCUAGUGAUCAAGGAACCCUUUUAGAUGGUAACUGCUGAUCUCCACAGCAAGAAGGAGAAGGCAGACCUUACCCAUCAGACCAUCCAUAUGUCUUCACAGUAGCAGAGAGCAAUUCCAUGUCAUUACCACUCCAGUUGAGAGGAAAAUCACUCCCUGGAAGUAGAAACUGCUGUGGGCAGAACUUAAAACAGGCUCACUGGCCUCGAAUGAAGGUGACCAGCACACUAUGGCAUCCUAACUUCAUGACGACAAUCUUCACAACCUCAGAGAAUCAAGCCUGGGCUGGUCUACAGAUAGAUACAGCAGAUCCUCUGCCACUGCUCCCAAAUCAUUGGUAAAAAUGUGGUGCCAGUUGCGAAGACAAUAUCCAGCGAUGAGGAGCCUAGUAAUCCUGGAAACACCUCCUCCACCUCCUCCUGGGGAGGUCUCUUCCUGUCAACCCCCCUCUGGAGGCCAGGGGAUGUUGAAAACACCACUCUAUUGCCUUGUGGAGGAGAGAACAGUGUAGGUAGAGAGACAUUUUAAGAUUCUGGGAAGCAAAGAGUCCAUGUAGAGCAGAUGACUGAUAACAACUUGGAAGAUGUUUAAGAAGGGGUUUGCCCAGUUGAAAAGGAACUUGGGAUAUCCACGUUUCCCUUUCCAUGAGUCCUCUGCCUUCUCAAGGUUGUUUCUUUACUUUCUUGGACACUUCAACACCUGGCUCAUAAUCUCAUGCCCUUCCAUCUACUUAACGUUUAUCACUUCCCUUUCUCCCCUCACCCAAAUAUAGCAUCUAGGAAUAUGUGCUUGAUGCAGAAAGUAAAACAAUACAGAAUCUAUAUGGUGCAAAUUAUAAUAUCCUUUCUCUCUUUCACUGACCCCCACUUGUUCCCCCAGUGUUCUUUAACAACCAUUUGAUAUAUAUUUCUGCAUCAUUUUCUAAAAAUGAGCACCAAUCUUUUCCCCCACUCUCCCUAAUAUUGUCAUUACCUGCACAUUAUCUGAUGGGAGGACACACUUGUUAUUGGAGGAAGGAAAUCAGGUACUUCCUAGAUGAACCCAAAAGCAUCAAAAAGCUACUCCUUGGUUCCUCUGAGCUAUACACAUGAAGGUGAACAAAUGCUUCUUCUACAGUCAUAAUGGGAAGGAUGGAACAUGUCAUAAAUCAUCUGAGACAACCAAAUCUAUGUGUAUGCAGGUGGCUCCGAAACCAUACUGCCAUUUGAGACUAAACAGCGUAGGGGUGCAAAAGCUAAAAUAUUUUGGAAAAUCUACUUUGCAUAUUUAGUUAUCUGCAUGUCAUUUAUAUUUAUUCAGUGUUGUGCACUCCCAAAGAUUUUGUUUUGUUUGCCAUUCUUUGCCUGUACACAGAUAUAUGGUAGAACAGGAAUUAGAAUAGUUGAGCUGUCAACUAUUUAUGUUGUAGCUUUCACCCUUCCCAAAUUAAUAAAGCUUAAAAAUGCAUUAUGACA